rnacentral:tRNA from 1 species
AUGGUCGGGAUAGCCUUC